rnacentral:rRNA from 1 species
UACGUAGGGGGGCUAGCGUUGUCCGGAAUCAUUGGGCGUAAAGAGCGUGUAGGCGGCCCGGUAAGUCCGCUGUGAAAGUCGGGGGCUCAACCCUCGAAUGCCGGUGGAUACUGUCGGGCUAGAGUGCGGAAGAGGCGAGUGGAAUUCCGGGUGGAGCGGUGAAAUGCGUAGAGAUCCGGAGGAACACCGACGGCGUAGGCAGCGCCCUGGACGACACCUGACGCUGAGGCACGAAAGCUGGGGGGAGCGAACAGG